GCCAGCAGCCGCGGUAAUACGGAGGGGGUUAGCGUUGUUCGGAAUUACUGGGCGUAAAGCGCACGUAGGCGGAUUAGAAAGUUGGGGGUGAAAUCCCGGGGCUCAACCCCGGAACUGCCUCCAAAACUGCUGGUCUAGAGUUCGAGAGAGGUGAGUGGAAUUCCGAGUGUAGAGGUGAAAUUCGUAGAUAUUCGGAGGAACACCAGUGGCGAAGGCGGCUCACUGGCUCGAUACUGACGCUGAGGUGCGAAAGUGUGGGGAGCAAACAGGAUUAGAUACCCUGGUAGUCCACACCGUAAACGAUGAAUGCCAGUCGUCGGGUAGUAUACUAUUCGGUGACACACCUAACGGAUUAAGCAUUCCGCCUGGGGAGUACGGUCGCAAGAUUAAAACUCAAAGGAAUUGACGGGG
rnacentral:rRNA from 1 species